UUGUGACUUCUGCUAAGACUUGUGCAUGAUACACUAUUUAAAAAUGAGUAUUAAAUUAUAAUAUAAACCAUACAUACAAUAAAAAUAUAAUAUAAAUUAUAAAAAUAUUAGGUGCCUAUUACUGAUGUUCUAGGCACAUGACAAACAAAGAACAGCAUCGAGUCAAUGUACCAUACUAUGUUGUAGCCUAUCAAGGAGUUUUAUACCAGAUUAACAAGGGCUGAUUCUGAAAAUCUUCAAAAAUUAUGAAGAGUAUUCCAUAGAUACGAGUCCUCUUUGGCAAAGAUCUGAACAGUAAUUUUUCCAUUUUUGCAGCCCCAAAGCAGCUUAUCCUCUAUCUUUAGAAUACAAGAUGUCAUUUAAGAAACCUGAAACUAAUGAAGGUGGCUAGGACCAGGUAUAUGAAUGGCUUUUAAAAUCUUUUUAUUGUGUUUUUGGAUGAACGCAGCAAUGGAGUUACUGUAUCUGCAAGUCUGAAUCCAUUGUUCAGGCUAACAAAUUCAUGUGGCCAGACAAGCUAAAAACAAGUUAGACCCAACUCUGCUAACAGUUUUCCUGUAGCUUUCUGAAUUCAGCUUUGUCCUACUGCAGGUGCAAUCUGGCCAGAUUUGUUCAACCUUGUCAACUGAUUAAACUUUUCUACCGGAUGCUGCAAUAGCUCUAUUGUUGACUAGCUCUCACACCAAGUCAGAGAUUAGCUGCACUGCAUACUGGGCAAACCCUCGUCACACAUACCCACAGAAGUACUCGGUAGCAGGUAGAGGGAGCGGGGAGGAGGAACUGAGCUGCCCACAGCAUUCGGAGACCAGCGGCUGGAAAAGCAGGUGAUCCACGGGUUCAUGGGAUGUGGAAGCUGAAGUAGUGGGACCCGAAGGUGAGAGCCCUCAGACUAGUCCCAAAACUGCUGGUGAUCUUGAUCCAAAUUGCCUGGUCUGGUGUCUUGAUCCAAAGACCGCACAAAAAAGAUUGCACCUUGACUGUCUCUAUAACGGACAUCCCCCAAGCAAUGGUUGCUGAGAGUAAUUUAAUUUAAUUUUUUUUAACGCGCACUCAACAAAGUUCUAAGGUAAGUAGCUCUACAGGAGCCAGUUGGAACUAAGUAGGACAAGAAGUAAUGGGCUUAAUUUGCAGCAAGGAAGAUUUAGGUUAGAUAUUAGGAAAAAAACAUUCUAACUAAAAGGGUAGUUAAGAUCUGGAAUAGUCUUCCAAGAAGUAUCCUCAUCAUUGGAAGUUUUUGAGAAAAACUUGGACAAACACCUGUCAGGGAUGGUCUAGGUUUACUUGGUCCUGUCACAGUGCAGAGGGCUGGAUUUGAUGAUUUCUCAAGAUCCAUUCCAGCCCUAUAUUUAUAUGAUCUAUGAAUUCUGGUUAUUAAUUUCCACAAAAUCUUUUAUGACUUGUCAUUGGUUGUGAAUUAAAUGUCAUAAUUAAUCUGAAAUUAUAAAUAAAAUUAAAGAAAACAUACAAAGAGAAUAGAGAUGGAGAAGCCUAUUUAAUAUUAAAAUCAGUCUCCCUGCAUUGCAUUGUCUCAUAGAUAGGGCCCUACCAAAUUCACACCAUGAAAAACACAUCACAGAUCACAAAAUCUGGUCUCCCCCAUGAAAUCUGGUCUUUUGCAUACUUUUACUCUAUCCUAUAAAAGUACCCUAUACUAUAGAGUAAAAAUAUACAAAAGUACACAGCAUUUCUAACACUGGGGAUUCCAACCCAAAAGGGAUUCAUAAGGCUAUUGUGGGGAGGCAGGGUCAUAGUAUUGCCACCCUUACUUUUGGGCUGCUGCUAGCAGUAGUGCUGCUUUCAGAGCUGGGCAGCCGGCCAGUGGCCACUGCUCUCCGGCCACCUAGCUCUGAAGGCACAGAAGUAAAGAUGGCAAUAUCGUGACCCGUCUACAAUAGCCUUGCAACUCCUGUUUGGGUCAGCACCCCCAGUUUGAGAAACAUGGACUCUUAAGGGCUUUACAUGUUUAUAUUUUGCUGUUGUAAAAUACACAUUAAUGUUCGUUACAACAAUGUGAAAUUUAAGAUUUAAAUAUCUGAAACCGUGAAACUGAAGAUUUUUAAAAUGCUAUUACUGUGAAAUUUACAAAAAUAGUGAAUUUGGUAGAGACCUACUCAGAGAAUAUUUUAAAUGCUUUGUCAAGUCUAGUUUUAAAUGCCCAAAGUGACUUCCAUUACAUCCCGUUGGAAACUCAUUGAGGAUUUUUUUUUUAUUCAGCCAAAUUUCCCUUCACUUCAUUUUUUCCCAUUGAUAAAGUGAACUUUAUCAAAAUGUGGUAAAGCCCUACAUGGCAGUGUAAUUUUUUUAAAACAGGAGUUCAAGGUAACUGCUACAUGUGGCAGAGAAAUGUUUUUUAAUUUUUCCAGCAGACCAAGAGAUAAGUGAUUUGGCCACAAGAACAAAUAAAAUCAAAGGCCAGUGCAGAUCUUAAUAUAAAUGUCUUUUUGCUCAGAUCUCACAUUUUCAGACCUCAGAGAAGAUAGAAUCUAAGUGACACAACAUAUGAAGAGCAAGAUCAUCAUAGUUGCUGCCACAUAAAUAUAAUUGGUGGAGACCUGAAUUGAGAAUGUAUGAUUAUUGUAGCCACAUUGAAAGAGGACAUGAAUGGUAUAGUAAAAAAAUGGGAGAGUGUAAGGGGGACCAUGUUUCCCUCAUCGUCCUUGUGGAGGAUGUUACUCCAUUUCCUCCAAAACCACUUGUGGUAACCAAGAAAAAACUCCAGUUGUGGUUGAAGAUGCGGUUUGAGCUGUGACAACAAACACUUCUCUUUUUAAGAAAACAACAUUUCCCCCCCCCCCCCCAAGAGAGAAUUUGUCUGACAGAGCUAGUUGUUCAAAUGGCUAUUGAAUCAAUGAGGAAUAGAUGUGUAUAUAGUUAUUUUACUGUCAGGAGAUUAAUUCAUUCACUCACUCAUUUACUCUCUGGGUACUGAACCUUUAAAUAUAUGAGGAAAUGCUAGCUUGUUGCAGAAGCAACUCUGAAGUAUCUACUAUUUUAUUGUUCAGUUCAGAUAUAAUCACUGUAUUCUUUUUCCCAUGGAGACUUUAUUCUUUCUUUCUUUCUUUCUUUGAAAUAAAAGUUGAUAGAUUGUGGUAUGCAGGUUUCACUCUUAACUGAAUUUAUGCCAGAGAAACUUCUGUCACAGAAAGACAUGAAACAACCAUACAGCCUUAACAGAGGUGCUAAUUAUGUUUUAUUUUAAUUAGUCAGUAAAGCCACUGAUAAUUCUCUGAGAGUCCUGGACUGGGUUACUGUUAGCAGGAAGCAUCUCUUUUUGAACAUUGACAGAUCUGCAGACCACAUGGAAGUGCACCCUAGCCACCAGAGUAUCCCGACUGAAGUCUGAGACUCAGUGUGGUAGGACAAUAGGGUUUUUCAUUACCUUUCAUUAACACUGCUGGGGUGCCAGCUAGAGCUGUGUUUUAAUUGUGCCUGCUGUUCAUUUCUUCCUGCUUACUGUAUCUUUUUCUAUAUACUUUUAAACCUUGAUCUGUUUAUUUUCAGAUAAAGAAGGAGGAAUUUCCAUGUUUGUACCCCUUCCAGUUUGCUCAGCAGAAGACAGCACCAACUUAGUUUUAGCUAUAGAGCCAGAAGAUUUCACUGACUUGGAAUGUACUAGGGAAGAAUAAACCUAGUGGUGAUACUGAUUUGACCCUAGAAUCACUAAGGGGCAAAUCCAGUCCACUUCUCCAUAGCCAAGGAGAGUCCAUGUGCAGUCCCUGAGUGGCAUGGAGCCUUCUCCUGCAUGAGCCCCCUGUUCAAUGAUAAGGAGAGGCCAGAAAAUCUGGUGUUACAAGGAACCUCCUAUCUCUGUUCCUACACCCUUCCUGCAUAGAAGCUGCACAAGUGUCCUGGCCAUUGGGCUGCAGUAACCUUUGUGGAGCAAUUCAACAACCACUCUACAGAGUGGAGGGAAGUAUUUUUCUUUCCUGCCCCACCAAACAUCAGCACACCACCACAGGAUUUUUUGGACAGUUGGCGUAUUGUUUGCAUUUUGUGCUUAUUUUGUUUAGUUGGUUCAUACCUUGGUGGAAGUGUGAUUUCUGAUUUUAAACCUGGAAACAAUCAAUAACGAUGUGUUUGAUUGUAUAUAUUUAUUUUGAUUUAUAUUCACAUCUGUGAAAAAGGGAACCUAUUCCUGUCUAUAAGGUUGACAAUUCUUAAAUAAUACAGAAAUGAAGAAGACCAUCCUGUAAAUCCCUUUUCAUCCUCUAAUCAGCAUAUUUACAGUAACCAACAACCCCACAGCAAAACUUUGGCAUAUUGCCAUUUAAUUUCCUAGAUAGGCCUCACAAUCCCUCAAACUGAUUGUCAUACCGUCUGGAGUGGCUCAUGACUGGGAGUCCCUACCUCAGGGCAGUCUGUCCGAAGAGGAGAGACACCCCAAGCUGGUGAUGUGUUCUAUAAUUAGAUUUCACCAAGCCAGUAACAAAUAUGAACUCCUUGAUCAAGAUAACAGGCUUACCAUGGAGUUACAGACAGUCCCCUCUGGUCUAUCUUGCCACCCAGACAAUCUGGACUUAGUGAUAAAUGGUCACUUUCACAAAAAAAACCUCACAAAUUUUAGGUUGCAUCCAGUUCCAUGAGACCAGGCACUUACCACAGAUCAACUGGUACCCUAGAUCUUACACAACAGACAAUACUUAUAGCCAAUCCUGUGUGACAAAGUUCCUGCUCUGCCUUGGUGGGUCUUGCGCUUAUUGGCAGAUUUGCUCGCCUUGGAGCUUCACGGCAGCCCUCAGCUUGGCCGUUUUUCUGAACU